GUUUCUGGGUCACUUACCCAUAAUGGGUCUAGAAAGCAGGCUAGUUUCCUAUCAUGGUGCCAGAGACAAAAAGAAAAAAAAAAUGAGGAAAGGAAAAAUCCAUGCUGAGAAAAAAACAAAAAACAAAACAAAAGCCACAAGCAAAAGGACAAUGCCAUGGGGUUCUUAAUGGUUCGGGAGCCACCUGACUUUGCUCCCUUCCUUUUGCAGGGAUAAUGACACUGUUUUUCAAAGAGGAGUGGCUUGUGUGGCCUCUCAGAGGUUUCCUGGAAUGUAGCUCCACAUUUCUGGUGAGCCUGUGCUGCUGGAAAUCCUGAGCAACGGAGAGAACAUAGGCACUGGAGAGGAAGAGCUGGGCUGAAUACCAACUCUGUUGCUUACUAGCCAGCUGAAUCUAGGUCAGUUACUGAAACUCUUGGAGCCUCAGUUUCCUUGCUUGUAAAUGAGGAUAUCAGUCAUUCUUCCAUCAUCAAUUUGUUGUGAGAACUAAAUGAGAUAAUAAUCAUACUUUACUUAGAACAUUGCUUGCACCGUUAGUGCUAUCUAAGUAUUAGCUGCUACUCUUAACAUUGUUUAUCAUGCUCUCAGGUGGUCAGAGAACACAGAUGCCCGUUCUUGUAGACAAGAUAUGUUUCUUUCAAAAACGCCAAUGAAUCAGUGUUGUGGCCAAGGUAUGUUUGACACCUGGACAGUGCUGCAGGACCUCAACAAAUACUGGCCCCCACCAGAGAAGGUGUCCCCAAAGCUUUUUUCCUGCAAAGUGGAAUGGCCUUCAGGCCCAGCACCAUAUUGAGGACCACGUUGUCCUCAGGGCAGCUUCCAACUCUGAAUUCAAAAAUGGUAUGUCAUAUAUUCUUGAGGUUUCAUGGAUAUACUUGACACCUCACAUUUCUCAUUCAAAUUCAGGGGGAGAAAGGAAAACCGGUUCUGGAGAAGAGGCUAGAGGUGGGGCAGGUUGGCUGACUGAUAGAAGCUGUGGCUUGAUGCUGAGUUCACCAUCAGGGCUGAGGCUGCUCAGGAGCUUCCUUUUCCAAGCCCAGAUAGGUCUUAGAGGUAGGUAGAGUGGCCGUCCAUGCAGGGAGAGCCCAGAGGCUGGAGAGCUAGCUAGGCUCUGGUUGCGUCUGUUUUGUGGCUAGGUGGUUGGUUUCGCCUUGUGUCCUUAGGAGGUCCAGGGCUGCCCACGGCCACCAUUGGUUUUCAACUGUGUGAACAGACACAAUGCCCCAGACCAGGGAAGAGAACACUGCGAGUGUGCAAGCAAACUCAUAACCAGCACCCCAAUGUGCCUUUGUUUGCCCUCUCCCCCUUGGCACAUAGAACCAAUCUAAAAAAUUGCUCCCUUACACUUCUAUCAAAAUCUCAAAUUUUCAAAGUCCUAUCAAGAAUAUUAUCCCAUAAGCCAAGGCUAGAGAUGAGUUUUCGUAAUAACUUCACCAGACAAAAGAGAAAACUGAAGCUACAAGAGGCAAGACCUACCCAGAACCAUUUGGCUGAGCCCAGCACUCUGCCCAUGGUCCAUGCACCCCUUGACCCUGACAUCAGCAAAGCAGUCCCCAUCACCAAAGUGCUAUGUGCCAUGUGCCCCUGGGAAGAAGAACCAAUCUGAGAUUGCAAACAAUGGGAAAGGACCUCAACUCUUGUGAGGCAGCUCUAAGAACUUUCAGCCCUAGACCUGUACAUUUUUUGUGAUUUUUUAAAAAUGUAACUCACCAUGCUAUACACAUCCUUAGCACACAUCCCGUACACAAGCUCACUCUGCUCCUG
rnacentral:lncRNA from 1 species